rnacentral:sRNA from 1 species
AGCACCUGGUUCUAAACGUAGUUACUCAACAUUGGAUUUGUCUCAUGAAUCUCCUUGUAAAGUUGCCAAAGUGGAAAACAAAAUGUCUGAUUUUACAGGGUCAAAGUUUAGUGACAGUGAAGGUGUUGAAGUGUAUACAGAUGGUGGCUGCUUUUCUAAUGGUCGUUCAGAUGCCAGAGCUGGGAUAGGAGUUUAUUGGGCACCUAACGAUCCUGAUAAUAUCAGUGAACCGCUUCAGGGAAAGCCCACUAACAACCGGGCUGAAAUAUAUG